AAAACCAACUUAUCCAGUGAAGAAGUAAAACAGGAAAGCGUAUCCAACAUCUAACCAAAUGCAGGUGAAGCUCUAAACCUUGUCCAGCUGAGAUUGGAGAAAUUCUGAGUGGCAAACCAUCACAGCGUCUUGUGGAAUGAAAUUACCAGGAGUCUUCCAGCUGUCAUGGCAGUAAAACUAAUAAAGCCUAAUGAAACAAUUGGCAUGGAUACCAGGGGUGACAGAAGGAUUAUGCU